rnacentral:rRNA from 1 species
AUUGAACGCUGGCGGCAGGCCUAACACAUGCAAGUCGAACGGUAACAGAAAGCUGCUUGCUGCUUUGCUGACGAGUGGCGGACGGGUGAGUAAUGUCUGGGAAACUGCCUGAUGGAGGGGGAUAAGUACUGGAAACGGUAGCUAAUACCGCAUAACGUCGCAAGACCAAAGAGGGGGACCUUCGGGCCUCUUGCCAUCGGAUGUGCCCAGAUGGGAUUAGCUAGUAGGUGGGGUAACGGCUCACCUAGGCGACGAUCCCUAGCUGGUCUGAGAGGAUGACCAGCCACACUGGAACUGAGACACGGUCCAGACUCCUACGGGAGGCAGCAGUGGGGAAUAUUGCACAAUGGGCGCAAGCCUGAUGCAGCCAUGCCGCGUGUAUGAAGAAGGCCUUCGGGUUGUAAAGUACUUUCAGCGGGGAGAAAGGGAGUAAAGUUAAUACCUUUGCUCAUUGACGUUACCCGCAGAAGAAGCACCGGCUAACUCCGUG